CGAGACCUCAGGUCAGACGGGGCUACCCGCUGAGUUUAAGCAUAUCAAUAAGCGGAGGAAAAGAAACUAACAAGGAUUCCCUUAGUAACGGCGAGCGAACCGGGGGAAUUCUAA
rnacentral:rRNA from 1 species